ACAAGGGGGUGGGCCUUGGACGGCGUAUAUGAUUGAGGACAAAUGAGAUGUUAAACCAUUUGGAGACAACUGUGGUGGAGAUGUAGCCGUCCGGGCGGACAGCCCCAACUUCCCUGUUUGGUGAGGGGAGGACGGGGGCUGUGGAUGUGGAGGACAGCCGUGCGACGAAAUGCGCGGAAAGAAACAAGCGGACCCGUUAGAUUAGAAAAUGGACGGGGCCAGUGGGACGUCACGAUGCGCCGUCGCCACAAAGCUCAAUACGCCGCUCAUAAACGCGCUCAUUUGGCUCCCAGCAUGCCGCACGUCCGGAGGGACAGCUGGUUACCAGGAGCUCAUCCAAGCCCAGUGCAACCCACCCUGCUGCAUCUGAGGAGGAAACAAAACUUUUGAAAGCACCAUCAUAAGUGAAGAUGAGGGCUUCCCCAAGCUUCCAGGUGUUUUGGAGGUUGUGUGUGUGUGUGUGUGUGUGUGUGUGUGUGUGUGUGUGUGUGUGUGUGCGCGCGCGCGUGUGUUGCUGGCAUAGAGCUGUGUUCGCAGGCCUGAGGGGUUGUCUGUUAUCUUUGGUUAUCUAGCUGUAUGAGUGACGUACAUUCUUCAUAAAGCUAGAUAACCGAAAGUAACAAGAAUCCCAUUACACGCCUGCACGGUGGAAGAAAACUAAGUUUAAAAAAACCACACACAAAUAGAACCAGGAAUGGGCUCGGACAAUGGACGUUUCCUACCAAUGGCAUGAAGGUUUCUGAUCAGUCUGGAGUUGGGAAUCAUCAGAUCUUUGCCUCUCAGACUCUUUUGGACUGUGACUUUGAGUCUAAUGAUGUACGUUGCACACAGGACUACAUCAUUAACUGUGAAAAUACUGGAGGAAACACACAGAUUUUGUGAAAGCAGCCGGACAGUGGGCAGAGUUAAAAUGGUCAGGUCUUAAAACUGGUAAUGGAUACAAAAGUAACUGUUUUCGGCUGCUGCAGCAGAACAUAUGUUUCUGAAUGAAGACAGAAACAAACAAGACAAGAUUUUGAUACAAGUGGACAAACUGAUAUUUGGCCAUCAUGAGGCUGAAACUGAGAGAGUAAAGUACAACAAAGCGAUCUGCGUGUGUGUGUGUGUGUGUGUGUGUGUGUGUGUGUGUGUGUGUGUGUGUGUGUGUGUUCUCGAGAACUGCUCUGCACAGCUGUUCAGGAAACAUAAAAAUUCAGUCAUUAGAGAUUCAAAGUAAUUUUAAAAAAGUUUAGAAGAUGAUAAAAAAUAGCUGUGGUGAAAUUUUGAAUUUUUAGUAUUAUUCAUUAGUUUAACAACGUAUUCUCCUUUAGAUGAGAAUUUUAUCUUAGAUCUUAAUCCUAGAUUUUACAUUUAUUUUUCUCACUUAUCUUUUGAAUCCUAUUUGUAUGUAAUUAUUACAGCUAGCAAUUAAAUGUGUCUCUUUGUCUCAUGUAAAACGUUAUGUUGAUGUUUCAAUCAAAUUGUUGACAAUCUGUGUGGAUUUCUUAAAAACAUUUGAAAUUGUUUUUCUGGUGCAAUGUCAAAAAUGUUUUAUGGACUUGAUCCAUCAACUAUGAAUUGUUUAUCAAUCGUUCAUUUGACCAUUUUUUAUAGACAGGUGCAGUAUAUUUUUCACAUUUCAUCUCAUACCUAGAUAUUAGUGUUUUGUACAUUUCUAUUUAAGAGGACUGUAUAACCUAAAAUGCUAACCGAUUAUUAUCUUAUUUUGCUCUUGCUUCAGCCACCUAUCAUGUACAUCACAUUUUAUCUUUUUGAUUUUGUGUCUACAUCUUAAUUAAAUUGUAUUUUUAUUUUUAGUGUACACAUUUAAUCAAGAACAACUAUCACUGCAUGAAGCAUUUUGUGCAAAACCACAAUAUAUUUGUUUUAUUUUUAUCUAUGCAAAAGAAACGGGGGUUUUGUUAAGUUUGCACUAUUUGCAUUAGUGUUUGCACAUGACUUGCAUUGUUAAGUUUGCACAUUACUAGCUAAAUGUAUGGGUUCAGUUUGUGUGAGAGAAUUGUGAUGUUUUACUAAUAUGCACUAUAUGAGUACAGGUGCAAUGUGUGUGCUGUUGAAGUGUAUUUUUAGUAGGUUUGAUUAGAAACAGUGAUUUAAUCAGUAAUUGCGUCAGUCUCAGAGACUAAAAUUUGGAUUUAUUCCACAUUGUAUUUGUUAAAUCAGCUCCUCUGACAAUCUAAUAUGCUUAAUAUACUUGAAUGCAUAGGAUUUCGUUUUGAUGUAGUGUGGAGAAUGUGAAUAUGUGCAAUAUAUUUUAUGUAGUUUUUAAUACUAUUCAGAGGGGAAAAUUGAUUAUAUUAGAAUGCACUAUGAACUACUGUUUCAGGGGUCUUACAAGCAGGAUUUGCACAUGAGCUGCUGUAAAUGUGCUCAAUAUCUGUACUAUGCAAUCGUUUCUACUGCAGUUGAUUUGAAAUCAAUAAAAGUAUGAAUGUUUACAAUGAGACAAUAA